UCAUUACUCCCUCCGAUCCAUAUUAGUUGUUGAAAUAUUACAUGUAUCUAGACACUUUUUAGAUAUAGAUACAUCCAUAUUUGGGCAAAUCUGAGACAAGUAAUAUGGAUCGGAGGGAGUACAUU
rfam:Brachypodium distachyon strain Bd21 chromosome 3, whole genome shotgun sequence.